rnacentral:rRNA from 1 species
UACGUAGGGUGCGAGCGUUGUCCGGAAUUAUUGGGCGUAAAGAGCUCGUAGGCGGUGUGUCGCGUCGGCCGUGAAAACCUGGGGCUUAACUCUGGGCGUGCGGUCGAUACGGGCAUCACUAGAGUUCGGCAGGGGAGACUGGAAUUCCUGGUGUAGCGGUGAAAUGCGCAGAUAUCAGGAGGAACACCGGUGGCGAAGGCGGGUCUCUGGGCCGAUACUGACGCUAAGGCGCGAAAGCCAGGGGAGCAAACGGG